UGCAGCCUGAGCUGAAGGAGGAGUUUAAAAAGAAGGAAACUUGCAGGCUUUCUUUCAUGUGGCCUUGAAGUGAGCUCCAGCUUCUUUCACCUAAGCGCUGAUAAUAUGGAAAUACCAGCUAUAAAUCUCAAGGCCAUCGUUCUGGUGCACUGGCUGCUGACAGUGUGGGGUUGCAUGGCGUGGCUUCCUGCAUCCUUCGCAUGGGGGAACUUCAGUGUUUUAGCAGUUGGGGUUUGGGCCAUUGCGCAGAGGGACUCCGUUGAUGCCGUGCUAAUGUUUCUGUUGGGGAUGCUCAUAACCAUUUUGACUGACAUCAUCCAUUUCGGGAUCUUUUAUCAGAGCUACAAUUUUUUAUCAAACAGCAAGGAAUUGUUUCGUUUCAGCGCCGGAAUGGCCAUCCUCAGCCUGAUCCUCAAACCUGCCACUUGCUUCUUUGUCUUGCAAAUGUAUCGCGAACGUGGCGGAGAGUAUAACGUCAACUUUGAGACAUCCGUGGACAGUCGGUGCACUACGGACAGUGCCGACAGUAGCUUUAUUGGCCGCCGCUACUGAUUCCUGGCCUCUUCUUCUCUUUUCAUCAAUUUGCUGCUGCAGGCAUUGUCUUUUUCACCCUUACACAUGCUUCCCGACUGUAACACGAAACAGAAGUGCCUACGAGUCGAUUGACCACCAGAAUCAGCCUUCCAACUCUGCAAACCAGACCUAAGACAGCAAAGCAGAAGUCCGCAGAUACGAGGAAACCAACACGGUGAACAUUACAGCUUUCUUCUUGCUUCGCCUUGCCCCCUAGCAGGAGUGCUUGAGGGCAAAUUUAGAACGAGUCCCACACUGGACCUGGGGGUUACACACCUGCUCUGCGGCAGGUUCCAGCACUAUAAAACCUGUGUACUUGGGCUUUAGACAAAAAACAAAAAAAAAUGUGGCAAAUUUCAAAUUGUUUCAGUUUAUUCUUUAAAGAUGCUUUGCUGAGCUGUUAACUGCUAAAUAAAUACACAGGAAUCGUUUUGAGUCUGUAGCCCCCCCAAAAAAA